CGACGGCUGGGGGAUGACCAAUCAUAUCGAGUGGUUCCUAUGACGAAUAUGACGCUAUGGGACCCGAGGUUGGAGACUUUCUUCAGCAAAGAUGGCUGACAAGAAAGCUAGGAUGGAAGCACAUGGACUCCUGAAACAACCAGCAAACUAGGCUGUCGUCUUGUGAAACAGUGGCUUUAAAGAAUCUAGCUAGCUAAAGCAUUUACUGCAAAUUGAAUGUACAAUUAUGUAAGCUUGUCUUGCUGAUAUUUGCCAUGCAAUGCAGAUAGGUUAAAUAACGUGGCUAGCUAGCUAUGUUCUUUCUUAUUGUGCAGUGGAGAAUAAAAAUACCCGUGUGCCUAUGGAUGUAUAGCUAGCUAUGUAGCCGAUCUGUGUAUGGACCCAAACGUUUGGUAUACAUAUUAGUUCAGAACCUAGCUUUGAACCUCAGCAAUCAUAGCCAGUUGUAUCAACUUCAAAACAGUCUGAAUGACAUUAAUGAAGCCUGCGGAUUGAGUAGAAUAUAAUAUCACUUUUGUGUCAAGGAUGCAAGUCGUAUAUACAUGUAGUUAUUACCAUGCUUGAGAUCCCCACAUUGUAGCCUGUACAUAUCAUGUACUCUACCUUGUCAAAUAAAGGUGCAGUUCAGGUA